AGAGUUUGAUCCUGGCUCAGAACGAACGCUGGCAGCGUGGAUUAGGCAUGCAAGUCGGACGGGAUCGGGAAGGUAGCAAUAUCGGCCCGUGAGAGUGGCGGAAGGGCGAGGAACACGUGAGCAACCUGCCCAGGAGGCGGGGAAAACCUCGGGAAACUGAGGCUAAUACCGGAUGCAGCGCCCCGACACAUGUCGGGAGCGCCAAAGGGGGCCGCAAGGCUCCCCCUCCACGAGGGGCUCGCGCACCAUCAGCUUGUUGGCGGGGUAACGGCCCACCAAGGCUCACGGUUAGCUGGUCUGAGAGGAUGGCCAGCCGCACUGGGACUGAGAUACUGCCCAGACUCCCACGGGAGGCUGCAGUCGAGGAUCAUUCGCAAUGGGGGCAACCCUGACGAUGCGACGCUGCGUGGAGGACGACGGCCUUCGGGUUGUAAACUCCUGUCAUGGGGGAAAAGGCGAGGGGACCCAACACGUCCCUUAGUUGAUGGUACCCCAAGAGGAAGCGACGGCUAACUCUGUGCCAGCAGCCGCGGUAAUACAGAGGUCGCUAGCGUUGUUCGGAUUUACUGGGCGUAAAAGGGCGCGUAGGCGGCAUGGCGU
rnacentral:rRNA from 1 species